GACGAACGCUGGCGGCGUGCUUAACACAUGCAAGUCGAACGGAAAGGCCCUGCUUUUGUGGGGUGCUCGAGUGGCGAACGGGUGAGUAACACGUGAGUAACCUGCCCUUGACUUUGGGAUAACUUCAGGAAACUGGGGCUAAUACCGGAUAGGAGCUCCUGCUGCAUGGUGGGGGUUGGAAAGUUUCGGCGGUUGGGGAUGGACUCGCGGCUUAUCAGCUUGUUGGUGGGGUAGUGGCUUACCAAGGCUUUGACGGGUAGCCGGCCUGAGAGGGUGACCGGCCACAUUGGGACUGAGAUACGGCCGAGACGCCUACGGGAGGCAGCAGUGGGGAAUAUUGCACCAUGGGCGGAAGCCUGAUGCAGCAACGCCGCGUGCGGGAUGACGGCCUUCGGGUUGUAAACCGCUUUCGCCUGUGACGAAGCGUGAGUGACGGUAAUGGGUAAAGAAGCACCGGGUAACUACGUG
rnacentral:rRNA from 1 species